AACGAACGCUGGCGGCAGGCCUAACACAUGCAAGUCGAACGCUCCGCAAGGGGAGUGGCAGACGGGUGAGUAACACGUGGGAAUCUUCCUAUUGGUAUGGAAUAGCUCAGGGAAACUUGGGGUAAUACCGUAUAAGCCCGAGAGGGGAAAGAUUAUCGCCAAUAGAUGAGCCCGCGUCUGAUUAGCUAGUUGGUGAGGUAAUGGCUCACCAAGGCGACGAUCAGUAGCUGGUCUGAGAGGAUGAUCAGCCACACUGGGACUGAGACACGGCCCAGACUCCUACGGGAGGCAGCAGUGGGGGAAUAUUGGACAAUGGGCGCAAGCCUGAUCCAGCCAUGCCGCGUGAGUGACGAAGGUCUUCGGAUUGUAAAGCUCUUUUGGCGGGACGAUAAUGACGGUACCGAGAGAAUAAGCCCCGGCUAACUUCGUGCCAGCAGCCGCGGUAAAGU
rnacentral:rRNA from 1 species